rnacentral:lncRNA from 1 species
AACCAGCAGCACCCAGUGGCCAGCAGCGUACUCUUUCACCUCUUCUUGGGUGACUUUGUGGAAUGCUCCAAUGUGACAUCUCCCUGUGAACGCCUUUCCUGACACCCUAAAAAGUGUCAGGAAUUUCCAGCAAGUUCCAGAGAGCAGGUUUCCAGCAAGUUUGGUCAGUAUGACACCACAGCGAUAUCUCUGCCAUUCAUUGAACUUGGAUUCUUCCUUCUUCAAUGAGAGAUGUUCAAGAAAAAGAACAACUUCAGUGGAAGAAGAAGAAGAUAGGAGCCCAGGUCCUGUGUUUCACCAAGACAGCCGUGCAAAGCAGAUGCUGCCAAAAAGGUGCAAAGUGGUUUGUCAGCUCUUCUGCAUGUUCUAACAAAUUAGACAUGCAUCCCAAAAGGUUUCCUAGACUUUCCAUCACCACCAGUGAAUUCUGAGUGACAAUAGUGUGGAAUUUGGAAGAAUGGAAGAGAAACUGAAGUGGAGAGAUGGUGAAAGAGAAGAAAAAAUGAAGAAAGAUGCUUGCAAAAAUACUGCUGUGGGUCCUGAGAUGAGGAUUCUGGGAGGGCUGAAAUGGAUGCCCCUGACAGCUCCCUUUGAGUUCCUGUUCAUCUGAAGUACACCAGCCUUCUAGAUAUGCUGUCACUUUCCUUCUGCAGAGCCACAGUGGUGUCCUGUCUUCUCAGACCUCUUCUCACCUCAAAUCACUUAGGACACGGCCACCAGACAGGUUUGGGAUUUCAGAACUUUUCAGAUGUUAGAAAGUUCUUUUCUAAAUGUGAUGAGGAAUUACAGAAUCAUAAAAUGGAAGCAGAGUUAAACUCAGACAUGUGGGCACUCAAGGCAAUUAGGAGCUUUCUGCGAUGAGAAAGGGAUCAGACUGAUCCUUAAGACUUUAUGCAACCCCAGAGUAUUGCAGCCACCUGCAUGCCGAAGGUGUCAAGAGUGUUCUCACUGCUGCCUAUAGGAGGGUCUUCAGCCUCCAGUGAUCCAAAGUACCAGGCUGACCUGUGACUGCUUCGGCCAACUGAAUAGGGAAGAGUGAUGCUGUGCUAUUUCCAGGCCUGUUCUUUAAAAGUACUUGGAAGCUUCUGCCUUGGCCUCUUUGUGCCUGAGUUGCUGUAUAAGAAUCUGAUUACCUUGCUGGAGAGACCUUGUGGAGAAGACUUGACCUUAUAUGCAGAGGUAGAGGGGCCCUGGUUAGUCCAGCCAUCUGGCCAUCCUGUCAAAAUAGCAGGAGUAUGAUGGCCAGUGGAUCCAAAACCUAUCCUAUAUCUACAUGUUGGUGGCCACAUUAAUCUGACAUCUGACAGCAAGAGCGAUGAUUGGGUUCACUGGAAAUCUUCAUGAAGUACGAGUGAAGUCCUUGUGAAGUCAGAGUUUCCUCUUCAUGCCUCUACUCCUAUGCAGUUUGACCUCUCAGUGUGCAGCUGGUGAUAGAUGGAAACCCUUGUUCAUAAGCUUUGUGGCACUGUCGGCAGGAUGAGGGGACUUCUGGAUCCUCACUGGUCACUGUGGCAGAGUGGUUGGUGUUGUCUGCUCCCUAGACAGGAACCCACUGAAGAAUCUGACAUUUUUUGAUAUGCUGGCAUUCAUUGUUACAGCCCAUCAACCCAGCCAUCAAUCCAGGACAUGGGGUCCGUGCCCACGGUGGGAAGGAGGAGGAGGAAGCUGGCUUUGUUCUGACCUUAGGCUUCUGCUCCACCAGUACUUUCUGUGGGGGAAAUAGGUAAAGAAAUGGCUGUUCAGAUGAGAAGAUGUGUCAGUAAACUUUUGCUACAGUGAUGCUGCAAAACAAAUCACUGGUGACUUUCAGUGGCACACAGCAAUAAACAUUUAUUUAGCUCAGGGAUUGACAAUCUUUUUUUUUUUUUUAAAGGGCCAAAUAGUAAAUAUUUUAGGUGUUUCAGGCCAUACAGUCUCUGAACUCUGAACUUGUAGCACAACAGUAGCCUUAGAUGCUAUGCAAAUGGAGGAGCAUGACUGUGUUCCAAUAAAACUUUAUUUAUGGACACU